UACGUAGGGUGCGAGCGUUGUCCGGAAUUAUUGGGCGUAAAGAGCUCGUAGGCGGUCUGUCGCGUCGAAUGUGAAAACCCGGGGCUCAACUCCGGGCUUGCAUUCGAUACGGGCAGACUAGAGUUCGGUAGGGGGAGACUGGAAUUCCUGGUGUAGCGGUGAAAUGCGCAGAUAUCGGGAAGAACACCCGUGGCUAAGGCGGCUCUCUAGUACGGUACUGACGCUGAGACGCGAAAGCGUGGGGAGCGAACAGG
rnacentral:rRNA from 1 species